GCCCUAGUGGCGGAAUUGGUAGACGCAGCGGAUUCCCAAUCCGUGGUCCUUUAGGCAGACACACCUGCCUUGGGCGUCCCGGUUCGAGUCCGGGUUAGGGCACCA
rnacentral:tRNA from 1 species